UGUCAAAAUUUUCAUCAUACAUAAGCAAAAUAUUUUUAAUAAAACAAAAUUACGUAUUUUGUUUAUAACUUCCAAUUAAGAGUUUAUAUUUCGUAUUUACCCGACAACUGACCAGCCGUGGUGUAUAUGAGCGACAGAAACUUAAAAAUAUUAAUUAUGUUUCAGCACGAAACAAGGGAUACCUAACAUCUGGAUAUAUUGUAAAACAUUUAAGAAUAUUAUCUUAACAAAAAGAUAAAAGAUGAUGUCACGCUAAAAGUGAUUCUCUCAGCAAAUGGGCUACGGAUUCAAAGUAAACAGGAUGGAUAGGUGUUUUAAAUUUUCAAAAUGUUACUAAAGGUAACCAAGCCAUCAGUGGUAGUUGUCAAGAAUGAGGAA